UGAGGAAUAUUGGUCAAUGGGCGCAAGCCUGAACCAGCCAUGCCGCGUGAAGGAUGAAGGCCUUCUGGGUUGUAAACUUCUUUUAUGAGGGAAGAAAACUACGGUUUCUACUGUAGCCGACGGUACCUUAGGAAUAAGCACCGGCUAACUCCGUGCCAGCAGCCGCGGUAAUACGGAGGGUGCAAGCGUUAUCCGGAUUUACUGGGUUUAAAGGGUGUGUAGGCGGGCUUUUAAGUCAGUGGUGAAAUCUCCGGGCUCAACCCGGAAACUGCCAUUGAUACUAUUAGUCUUGAAUUUUGUUGAGGUAGGCGGAAUAAGUCAUGUAGCGGUGAAAUGCAUAGAUAUGACUUAGAACACCAAUUGCGAAGGCAGCUUGCUAAACAAAUAUUGACGCUGAGGCACGAAAGCGUGGGGAUCAAACAGGAUUAGAUACCCCCGUAGUCC
rnacentral:rRNA from 1 species